UGACGUGGCUAUGUUCGGAACUGAUUCCAAUUCCCAAAAAUUCUGAAUUGUCUUUUCCAAAGAGGCAUUGGUGGUUGAAAGACAUGUCGAGUUGUGGGUUGGAUCGGACAGAGAAGACUUCCCCAUAAGAAUCCAUCCAAAAACGGAAUUGACAGCGAUGGGCUCAUGAGAUCCGCCCUGAAUGGGACCUUCGGUGUUUAAGAUGUGAGUGCAGGGAAGCAAUAGAGGAAGCUGAGGGUUGAUUGGAGCAAAUACUUGGGGUUAUAAUAGCUUUGAAUUGGAAGGAUGGUUUUUGACCAUGAAUAGGUUGAACGGAACAAUCAAUUGAUCCCUUUUUACAGAUCGACGUCAUCGAGUUCAGUCCUUGAAUCUCUAUACAAGAUGUGUAUUUUCUAGACAUUUUAUGCGAGGAAGUCCCCACAUGAAUAGCUGCAGAGCCUGGACCCUUAAGAUGAAGUGACGAGUGAUGAUGCUGGUUGCAAAUGCGACAGGUACGGUUAGAUGAGCAAUUAUGUGUGGCAUGGUUUUGGCUAAGGCAGUUACGACAUAAAUUGUACUCUCGAGCAACUGCCAACCUUUCAAUAGCUGAUUUUCCAUUAAAAACGUGGCAUCGAUAGAUGGGAUGCACUUCUGGGCAUAAAAUACAUUUAGAUGAUUGCGGUUUUGCGGAAAGAUGUUCAAGUUUCAGAUUCACUGCCUUUUCCCGCAUGUUGGGCUUGAACCGCAUAAGGGAAGUUUUAUCCCCCGACAUUAGUAAGACGGAUUCUAGUGCCUUUGCUCUCUUUUCAAGAAAGGUCAUUAGCUGAACAUAUGUUGGAUUGUUGGUAUCAGUAUGUUCUGCUUCGAAGGUGGUUCUGAUUGCGUCUGUCAAUUUUGGAAGCACUAAAUUAAACAGCAAGAAAUCCCAUUGUUCUACGGGAAAUCCUAAGAUUCGUCUUUCAAAGGUUUUACAUGAAGAAUUUCCAAGAAAUACAAUGUGCCUAAAUGCCGUUUAUUAUUGUAUCUUCCCUUUAAAGUAUUGUAAGCCGUUUCAUAAUUAGCCUCUAUUACUGGCAAUCCCUUUAAAAGAUUAAAGGGUUCUCCCUUUGAAGAGCUGAGAAGGUACUGGUACUUGACAAUGGAUGAUAACGAAUUGUUUUCAUGAACCAGGGUCCGGAACAGGCCAAAAAACGUAUGCCAGUCCUUGUAAAUACCAUCAAAAGUUGGCAGUGAGAUUUUAUUGAGCUUCGGAGCUUCUGGUAAGGGAACAUCCCGACAUGUUGUAGGAGGUGGCGAACGUUGAUGGAAGACGGCUUUAAUGGUAUAGUAAACAGUAGCUGCGUUUUCUCGAACUUUAUCGUGAGUCUCAAAGUCAGCUUCGUCAAUGAUUCCAAUAAUGGUAUUAUGAGCUGUUUGAAAAUCCUUAUAACUGUUCUCAAUAUCCUGCGCUCGUUCAAGAAAAAUGGAAUUUGUUAGAGGAUCAGAGAGAUCUUUACUGAGAGCUAGGCAUUCUUGUAAGUGAUUAGAGGCGCUAGUACGGCGUAAGAUAAUGAAUUAGGAAGAUAAAUUUUAAUUAUCAACGAGUCGCAAUUUGAGGAAUAAGAGUGAGAAAUAAUUCUCGAGUACGAAACGGACAAUGUUAAAUUCAACAAGGUGAAGAAUUAAACAAAGGCGUAUUACUAGAAAUACUUCGUUUAAAUAGGUGAUGACGAUUUAGGCUGAAUUCGACCAAUAAGUUUUAGGUACCAGAUGUUCGAAACGUGGAACGUGGAGGACCGUAAAAACGUGGAUAAAAUUAAUGAGAAAUGGGGUAAAAUGAGGGCGUAACGACGCAAAAGUAACAAAUAAGCAAAAAAAAAAUUAUAUUUGGGAAUAAGAUCCGGCUCGAAGGACCAAUGUUUGCGCAGGCAAGAAGCCAGACAACAACUUUAAAUAAAGGGCUGAUUCGUAGAUUCGUGAUAAAAAUGUACUAAAGGUUAAUAAUAGAUCGGUGUGAAAUUAAA
rnacentral:lncRNA from 1 species